rnacentral:lncRNA from 1 species
GUUCGACUAAACACAGGGGGCGACCAGGAAGUUCCCCUUCAAACCCUAACUCUUACAAAACUCACAAAUUGAAGGCUCAAAUCAAGUCCAAAUCGAAAUCUGAAUAUAGAUUAGUGAUCACCUCGGCGAAGGGAUCAUAAGCUGUAUGGAGCAAGGAAACCGGGACGCCAAGCGGACAAGCUAGUGGCGAUAUGCAUUUGAAAGGAUUGCUCUAAAGGUAAUGCUCGUUUCGUUAUGGAUGUUGAUCAAGCAAGGAAAUCAAGAACAGAACACAAGUUUUGAAUGCUUCCGCGAUAAUCUAAUCUAGUUCAAACCAUGUUGUUUUGUAAACACUUCUAAACGUUGAAUAUUUUAAUCUAGUUAGUUGACUAU